GAAUGGAAUAAGGAACGGGGAAAGCUACGGGAUCGACAUAAUAAUGUGACAGCUUGCAUCAGAAAACCUUUCUCAUCGCAAUUCUGUUGUCAGGACAAAAACAGCCCGAAUCUCAGCAGGUGCUACGGCAGGAAUGGAAUAAGGAAUGGGGAAAGCUACGGGAUCGACAUCAAUAAUGUGACAGCUUGCAUCAGAAAACCUUUCUCAUCGCAAUUUUGUUGUCAGAACAAAAACAGCCCGAAUCUCGGCAGGUGCUAUGGUAGCGUGUCAGAUUGCCAAUCCAAUUGGCCUAAUGUUCUUGACCCUCAUGUGUGA
rnacentral:lncRNA from 1 species